GACGAACGCUGGCGGCGUGCUUAACACAUGCAAUUCGAGCGGUAAGGCCCUUUCGGGGGUACACGAGCGGCGAACGGGUGAGUAACACGUGGGUGACCUGCCCUCAGCUCUGGGAUAAGCCUGGGAAACCGGGUCUAAUACCGGAUAUGACUCCAUGACGCAUGUUGUGGGGUGGAAAGCCUUGUGCGGCUGAGGAUGGGCCCGCGGCCUAUCAGCUUGUUGGUGGGGUGANGGCCUACCAAGGCGACGACGGGUAGCCGGCCUGAGAGGGCGACCGGCCACACUGGGACUGAGACACGGCCCAGACUCCUACGGGAGGCAGCAGUGGGGAAUCUUGCGCAAUGGGCGAAAGCCUGACGCAGCGACGCCGCGUGAGGGAUGACGGCCU
rnacentral:rRNA from 1 species